rnacentral:lncRNA from 10 species
GGCAAAGAGAACACGCUGCAAAAGGCUUUCCAAGAAUCCUCGACAUGGCAAGGAGGAGCUCGUUCCAGUCGUGUCAGAUAAUAUCCCUGUUCACUUUUGCCGUUGGAGUCAAUAUCUGCUUAGGAUUCACUGCACAUCGAAUUAAGAGAGCAGAAGGAUGGGAGGAAGGUCCUCCUACAGUGCUAUCAGACUCCCCCUGGACCAACAUCUCCGGAUCUUGCAAGGGCAGGUGCUUUGAACUUCAAGAGGCUGGACCUCCUGAUUGUCGCUGUGACAACUUGUGUAAGAGCUAUACCAGUUGCUGCCAUGACUUUGAUGAGCUGUGUUUGAAGACAGAUGGAGUCUCCUCCUGUCACCCAUGCUGGAGUGCAAUGGCAUGAUCUUGGCUCACUGCAACCUCUGCCUCCUGGGUUCAAGCGAUUCUCCUGCCUCAGCCUCCUGAGUAGCUGGGAUUACAGGCAUGCACCACCAUGCCCGGCUAAUUUUUUGUAUCUUUAGUAGAGACGGGGUUUCACCAUGUUGGCCAGGCUGGUCUCGAACUCCUGACCUCACGAUCCACCUGCCUCGGCCUCCCAAAGUGCUGGGAUUACAGACAUGAGCCACUGAGCCUGGCCCGUAAUAUCUCUUUAUUAAUGUAUUCACCUAACAAUAGUUGUUUCUCUUGGUAGAAUAUUACUAAGAGGCAGGAUUGCUUUAAAAAUCAUUUCUUUCCACUUAUCACAUAUUUUAAGAGAUAAAGACCUGAAGUGUUCAUAUGUAUUUUAGCUCAGUGACACCUUUCUUGACCAUUCUACUUCCUGGAGUAGCACCUAUUUCACCCUAUCUUUCUCUAUCAAUGCCACCUGUUACUUCCUUCACAACAUUUGGCAUAAGCUGAAAUGAUCUUGCUUAUUGAUUUACUUGCCUAUGAUCUGUCUUUUCCAAUUGGAAUGUAAGCUCCAUGAAGACAGACCUAGUCUCUCCUGUUCUUUAUGACAUCCUGGCACCGAGAACACGGAAAACAUGGUAUAAGAGUCAAUGAGUAAAUGAGUUAACUAUGAAAGUUCUCAAUAGAGUAGUUCUGAAUUUAAAGAGUUAUAUUUUAUCUCCAUGGUCAUUUCCAAUUCAAUUUAAUACAUAUUGAUUGAACACCUAGCAUGUGCCAGGCGCAGUCUCCCAGGCUUACAGUCUGCCACUGGAAAUAGAAGAGCGAAGAGAGAGGUGUCACUUUUCCUGCCAUGGCGCUUACACUCUAGCAGAUGAAAAAGUCAAAAAACACAGCACUCCUUUUAAAAUGGAAAGGUUGUUUUUCUGAAAUGUAAGAAUUAAGCAGUGAGCUGUCAAUCAGGUAUGUUCAGAGGGAAAUCUGUAACCCAUUUACUUGGCUUGAAAGUAGGAACUCUGACCUGUCAUUGUAGGUAGGACCACAAUGGGUCAGUGGUUAGAAUCUUGAGCAAACAUUGUAAUGCCCCCUUUAUACUCUUCACAUCCUAUUUAGGACUUUAACCUCCAGGUGCAGAUAGAAACCAUGUAGUUGUCCUGUUAUUUGUGUUUGAAUCACACUGAUUAACGCUAAGCACAGCUACUUUAGGCUAGGUGCUGUGGCUCAUGCCUGUAAUCCCAGCACAUUGGGAGGCCAAGGUGGGAGGAUCACCUGAGGUCAGGAGUUUGAGACCAGCCUGGCCACCAUGGUGAAACCCCGUCUCUACUAAAAAUACAAAAAUUAGCCAGACGUGAUGGCAUAUGUUUGUAAUCCCAGCUACUCAGGAGGCUGAGGCGGGAUAAUCGCUUGAACCAGGGAGGCGGAGGUUACAGUGAGCCGAGAUUGCGCCACAGCACUCCAGAGUGGGCAAGAGAGCAAGACUCUG